rnacentral:rRNA from 1 species
GACGAACGCUGGCGGCGUGCCUAAUACAUGCAAGUAGAACGCUGAAGAGAGGAGCUUGCUCUUCUUGGAUGAGUUGCGCACGGGUGAGUAACGCGUAGGUAACCUGCCUUGUAGCGGGGGAUAACUAUUGGAAACGAUAGCUAAUACCGCAUAACAAUGGAUGACACAUGUCAUUUAUUUGAAAGGGGCAAUUGUUCCACUACAAGAUGGACCUGCGUUGUAUUAGUUAGUAGGUGAGGUAAUGGCUCACCUAGGCGACGCUACGUAGCCGACCUGAGAGGGUGAGUGGCCACACUGAGAGUGAGACACGGCCCAGACUCCUAGAGGAGGCAGCAGUAGGGAUACGUCGGCAAUGGGGGCAACCCAGACCGAGCAACGCGGCGUGAGUGAAGAAGGAUGUCGGAUCGUAAAGCUCGGUUGUAAGUCAAGAACGGGUGUGAGAGUGGAAAGUUCACAGUGUGACGGUAGCUGACCAGAAAGGGACGGCUAACUACGUG